rnacentral:rRNA from 1 species
AUUGAACGCUGGCGGAAUGCCUUACACAUGCAAGUCGAACGGUAGAGGGGGCAACCCCUCGAGAGUGGCGAACGGGUGAGUAAUAUAUCGGUACGUGCCCAGUCGUGGGGGAUAACGUAGCGAAAGUUACGCUAAUACCGCAUACGAUCUAAGGAUGAAAGCGGGGGAUCGCAAGACCUCGCGCGAUUGGAGCGGCCGAUAUCAGAUUAGGUAGUUGGUGGGGUAAAGGCUCACCAAGCCAACGAUCUGUAGCUGGUCUGAGAGGACGACCAGCCACACUGGAACUGAGACACGGUCCAGACGCCUACGGGAGGCAGCAGUGGGGAAUUUUGGACAAUGGACGCAAGUCUGAUCCAGCCAUUCCGCGUGCAGGAUGAAGGCCCUCGGGUUGUAAACUGCUUUUGUACGGAACGAAAAGGUCUCUCUUAAUACGGGGGGCUCAUGACGGUACCGUAAGAAUAAGCACCGGCUAACUACGUGCCAGCCGCCGCCGUAA